AAGAACAGAGGCAAGCCUCCAGCCAGGAGCUCAUGAAAUCAUGAACUGAGGCCUCAGUGCAAUAGCUCAUGAGGAAAUGAAUUAUUUCAACAGCCAGUUAUGCUUCAAGCCAUACUUAAGAUCGAUGAAUCCUCCUUUAUAAACACAGAUGUAGUAAACACUCAGAGAAAACGAGGUUGAAAAACCAAAUGCUGGGGAGGAGCCAAGAUGGCCGAGUAGGAACAGCUCCGGUCUACAGCUCCCAGCGUGAGCGACGCAGAAGACGGGUGAUUUCUGCAUUUCCAUCUGAGGUACCGGGUUCAUCUCACUAGGGAGCGCCAGACAGUGGGCGCAGUUCUGGAAGUUGGAAGUACAAGAUCAGAUUGCCAGCAUCAUCAGGUACUCAUGAGGGCCGUCUUCCAGCUUGCAGACUGCCAACUUCUCAUUGUGUCC
rnacentral:lncRNA from 1 species